GACGAACGCGGGCGGCGUGCCUAACACAUGCAAGUGGAGCGACGGACCAGGCUUCGGCCUGGGCCAAGCCGCGAACGGGUGAGUAACACGUGGGCAACCUGCCCCGACGACCGGGACAACCCGAGGAAACUCGGGCUAAAUACCGGAUGUGCUCGCCUCGCGCAAAGCGAGGCGCGUAAAGGAGCUUCGGCCUCCGCAUCGGGAUGGGCCCNGGCCCAUUAGCUUGUCGGUGAGGUAACGCCACCGAGGCUGCGAUGGUAGCUGGUCUGAGAGGACGAUCAGCCAC
rnacentral:rRNA from 1 species